AUUGAACGCUGGCGGCAGGCCUAACACAUGCAAGUCGAGCGGCAGCGGGAAGUAGUUUACUACUUUGCCGGCGAGCGGCGGACGGGUGAGUAAUGUCUGGGAAACUGCCUGAUGGAGGGGGAUAACUACUGGAAACGGUAGCUAAUACCGCAUAACGUCUUCGGACCAAAGUGGGGGACCUUCGGGCCUCACGCCAUCGGAUGUGCCCAGAUGGGAUUAGCUAGUAGGUGGGGUAAUGGCUCACCUAGGCGACGAUCCCUAGCUGGUCUGAGAGGAUGACCAGCCACACUGGAACUGAGACACGGUCCAGACUCCUACGGGAGGCAGCAGUGGGGAAUAUUGCACAAUGGGCGCAAGCCUGAUGCAGCCAUGCCGCGUGUGUGAAGAAGGCCUUCGGGUUGUAAAGCACUUUCAGCGAGGAGGAAGGCCAAUAACUUAAUACGUUGUUGGAUUGACGUUACUCGCAGAAGAAGCACCGGCUAACUCCGUGCCAGCCGCCGCCGUAACAC
rnacentral:rRNA from 1 species